rnacentral:snRNA from 1 species
GUACUCACUAUGGCAGCAUAUAUACUAAAAUUGGACCCAUACAGAGAAGAUUAGCAUGGUCCCUGUGCAAAAUUCAUGAAGCAUUCCAUAUAUUU